UACAGAGGGUGCAAGCGUUGUUCGGAAUUAUUGGGCGUAAAGGGCGCGUAGGCGGUGCCACAAGUCACCUGUGAAAUCUCCGGGCUUAACCCGGAACGGUCAGAUGAUACUGCUUUGCUAGAGUGCGGAAGGGGCAAUCGGAAUUCUCGGUGUAGCGGUGAAAUGCGUAGAUAUCGAGAGGAACACCAGAGGUGAAGACGGGUUGCUGGGCCGACACUGACGCUGAUAGCGCGAAAGCCAGGGGAGCAAACGGG
rnacentral:rRNA from 1 species